rnacentral:lncRNA from 10 species
GGAAAAGGCCGCUCGCUCGAGAUUGCGCGCAAUUCUUGUUAACCCUUUGAGGACAGCUUCAAUAGAAUUAUGAUUUCAAUGUAACCUAGUAAAAAAGGUUCCCUGAUGGUUUCAGAUUCCACAUUGCAACAACUUUUUAAAAACUACUUACUGCUUUUAGUGUUGGAUCUAAGAAGAAUAUCUACAAUUAUUUGAAAGGGAUUUUUCCCCAACUACUUUCUGUAUGUGACCAGGUUUUCCUCAUAAACUUCAACAAAAAAGAAAAACCUUGUGGUAGGCUGAUAAUGACUUCCAAAGAUGUCCGUGUUCUAAUCCCUGGAAUUUGUGUUACCUCGUGGUAAAACUUUUACAGAUGAGAUGAAGUUAAGGAUCUUUAGGUAAAGAGAUUAUCAUGGAUUACCUGAGUGGAUUAUUGAUGUUAUCUCAAGCAUCCUGUUAAGAGAGAAGGGAGAUUAGCCACCCAACACAGAAGUGAAAUUGAUGUGAAGAUGAAGGCAGAGAUUAGUGUGAUGCCUCUAAAAGUCAAGCAAUGCCAGCAGUUACCAAAAGCUGGAAGAAGAAGCUUCUCUAGAGCCUCCAGAGGGAACGUUUUCCUGCCCACACUUUGACUUUGGCCCAGUGAAACUGGUAUUGAACUUUCUGGCCUCCAGAACUAUGAGGGAAUAAAUUUCUGUAGUUUUGAGCCACCAAGUUUGUGAUAAUUUGUUAAACAGCAACCACAGGAAACUAAUACAAACCCCAAAUCAACAGAUUACGUGCAGAACCAGACAUGACAAUGCAAUGUUUUAUAUUAAUCCUGACAUUAAAGAGACUUGCAAAGUUGUAAAACAGUGACACAGUUCUUUAAUUGUUUUGGAAUUUGAUAUACAGUCAGCUCUCCAUAUCCACGUGAUCCAUAUCCCCAAGGAUUUAACCAACUGUGGAUCAAAAUCCACCAUGGAUGAAAAACCCUCAGAUGAAGAAGGCUAAUUAAGGGACUCAAGCAUCCACCAAUUUUGAUAUCCACGAGGGUCCUAGAAUCAAUCCCCUGAGGAUACUGAGGGCUGACUAUAUAACUGUUUUUCAUUUAAAAAUAGAAAAGGAUGUCAACAUGCAAUGGGUUUAUUGUUGCUGUUUCAUUUAUUUAUUAUUUUUUUUCUUUGAGAUGGAGUUUUGCUCUUGUUUUCCAGGCUGGAGUGCAAUGGCACAAUCUCAGUUCGCUGCAACCUCCACCUCCCAGGGAUUGUGCUGCCUCAGCCUCCCAAGUUGUUGGGAUUAUAGACACCCACCACCACGCCCGGCUAAUUUUUUGUAUUUUUAGUAGAGACGGGGUUUCCCCAUGUUAGCCAUGCCGAUCUCCAACUCUGGACCUCAGGUGAACUACCCGCCUCGGCCUCCCAAAGUGCUGGGAUUACAGGCGUGAGCUACUGCACCCAGCCCAUUGUUGCUGUUUUUAAAAUUAAUUAACAUCUUAAAAUUCUCUCUCUUUUACUUUCUAACCCGGUAAGUAUUAGUAGAUAUAACUCAAAAGCAAAAACUUUUGAGGAUCUUCAAUAAUUUUUAACUAUGUUGUGGGGCUCCUGAGACCAAAAAAAUUGAAAGCUGCUUAUCUAGUACAUAGUAUGUAGUCAAUUAUUUAUUGAAGUAAUUAUUAUAUUUCUCAUUCAAUCACAUCAAUUGGUAUGUUAGUCUAGGACAGUGAACAGCCAGAGUCCAGAGAUAAGGUGAAUGGUUGCAAGAGAAAAGGACAGAAUAGUUCUUGGGAAAGAGAGAAAUUUGAGAAAAAGACAAAGUUUUUUUCUCAAUCUGGACAAUCUAUGACUGACCAGAUUAUGACAGAGAAUUUUCUGGAACAACUCCCAGAGCCUCCUAUUUUGUGACCCAGGCACAAAAAUUGUUGACUCCCAUUAAUUCCUACCAUUCCUUCUCUAGCUUCCACUUCUCAAAGCUAAAAAUUGAAAAUAGAGCAAGGAAACAAAUGUCAAAUGUCCAGAAGUUAAAUGCCUGGAGAGAAAAGCUGAUCGUACAAUAAGACUUGCUAAGAUUUAUAAUGACAGAAUGUGAGAGCUGGAAGAAAAGUUGAAGGCCAUCCACACAUCCAAUUGUCUCCUUUUGUAGAAAAGGAUGCUAAGACUUAGAUUGUGGAAGCCAACUAAUCUCAAGUCAUACAACCAUACGGGUGGAAAUGAAAUUGUAGCCCUACAUCUAGAAUUCAAACCCAGAGCAUUCCCCCCAUACUUUCAUGGUGUUGAUAGUAAAGAGGUUACUUGUGGCUUCCUGUUCUGAGACUCUGGCUCCUAGUCCUGCCCCAAAAUAAAGAGGAUAUGAAUUUUCCAUUUUAAGCUUAUAAUUUUAGACUGUCCACUUUUUCUGUAAAUAUGGACUCUUCUUCCUCCUUUUCUUAUCACCACCUCUGUCCUAGGUAAUUUCACUUGGAAUGAUUUACUGUCACAAAGAUAGAACCUGUUAAACCCUCUUGAACUGAAAUUCCUCUUUCUUCUUCCAGUCAAGGAGAAAAGUGGCUCUCAUUGAACUGAAAAUAGGGGGCCAGAUGCAGUGGCUCACGCCUGUAAUCCCAGCACUUUGGGAGGCCGAGGCAGGCAGAUCACUUGAGGUCGGGAGUUUGAGACCAGCCUGGCCAAUGUGGCGAAACCCCAUCUUUAUUAAAAAUACAAAAAAUGAGCUAGGUGUGGAGGUGCGCCCCUGUAAUUCUCAGCUACUCAGGAGACUGAGGCAGGAGAAUCACUUGAACCUGGGACGUGGAGGUUGCAGUGAGCCCAAAUAGCACCACUGAACUCCAGCCUGGGUGACAGAGUAAGACUCCAUCUCAAAAAAAAAAAAAGAAAGAAAAUAGGACAGGGCCAGGCGCAGUGGCUCACACCUGUAAUCCCAGCACUUCGGGAGGUCGAGGCGGGCAGAUCACCUGAGGUCGGGAGUUCAAGACCAAACUGACCAACAUGGAGAAACCCCGUCUCUACUAAAAAUACAAAAUUAGCCAGGGUGGUGGCGCAUGCCUAUAAUCCCAGCUACUCAGGAGGCUGAGGCAGGAGAAUUGCUUGAACCCUGGAGGCCCAGGUUGAGGUUAGCCGAGAUCACGCCAUUGCCCUCCAGCCUGGGCAACAAGAGCAAAACUCCGUCUCAAAAAGAAAAAAAAAAAAGGACAGAAAAGUGACUCCGUACACUUUAAGAAGGUGCAGUGGUCCAAGGACAGCAGGGGGGCAAACUAGUAUAUUCUCCAUAAGACUAUCACCAGCCACUCCACAAGUUUUUUUCCUGUCUCACUUGUUUUAUUUUCUUUCUGUCUCAAUUGGAAAUACACAGACAGAAAGCUUUCUUUCUGUCUCACUUGGAAAUAUAUAGAGGUACAGGAAAAGGUAAGACAUGUUUUUCUUCCAUGUGUUUCCUCAGCUUUCAUUUAGAAAACUUUUAUUUAUUUUGCAUAAACAUUACAUUCACUUUAUUCCAAAUUCAACAUGUACAAAAGCUUACACUAAGAAAAGUAUUCCUCUUUUCCUUUCCCCACCCUCCUACUUUCCUCCUUAGAAGCAACCACCAUGAUCCAUUUCUUCAGCAAUAUUUUCUGCAGAAACAAUAGCUUUCAUUUUGAAAGUCAUUUAUGCCAUCCCAUGCCCACAGAGAAUUCAGCCCACUUAUUUUUAGAAUAUAUCUCUGGAGAAUCAUUCCUUUUUAUAACAUUUUACUGAAAAUCUCUGCCCACCUGUUGAUUAGAGUAUUGCAAACAGACAACAGUUGUUCAUGCUCACUUACCCCAAGAGUUAUCAUCCCUGCUCCAGCAGUGCACCUGGGAAUCGCCUGAAAGGAAAGUUCUAGGAUACACACACACUUAUCCAAUGGCCCCAGUUCUCCCCUUCUAUACUCUCUCCUAGGCUCUCAUCCUAUUUUCAACCCCCUCAACUACUGAACUGCAUUUAGCAUUGUUUAUCCCCAGGCUGUUUGGGUUUGACAUUUGGCAAGGUUUUUCCAGCAAAGACCUUGACAACUCUCAUCAAUAGUUCCGAUUUUUCACUCUCGAUGUUGCCUUAGUUUACCCCCAAUAACGUCCCCCAUUGCUUCAUUUCCCCUGCAAACAUCUUACUUUAGUACCUCAUCUCUCUCCUGAAUCAUUAUAACAAUCUAAUUUGUCAUCGCCAUCACUGUCCUCUCCUCUUUUCAGCCAGCCAUCUGAUUUCUAACUCAGAAAUCUUUUACUAUUCCUAGUUCAAAAUAGUUUGGUGGGAAAAAUGGAAGCUCUUUACCUGGGCAUCUGUAGAUAUUUAUAACUCUUCCAUUGCCUGCCUCUCUACCCUCUUCUCAUACUAUUCUUUUUUUUUUUUUUUUUUUUUUUGAGAUGGAGCUGUGCUCUUGUUGCCCCAGGCUGGAGUGCAAUGGCACAACCUCAGCUCACUGCAACCUCCUCCUGCUGGGUUCAAGCGAUUCUCCUGCCUCAGCCUCCCAAGUAGCUGGGAUUACAGGCACCGGCCACCGCGCCCAGCUAAUUUUUUGUAUGUUUAGUAAAGAUGGGGUUUCACCAUGUUGGCCAUGCUGGUCUUGAACUCCUGACCUCAGGUGAUCUGCCCAUCUUGGACUCCCAAAGUGCUGGGAUUACAGGCAUGAGCCAUUGCACCCUGGCCUUUUUUUUUUUUUUUUUAAGACAGAGUCUCGCCCUGCCACCCAGGCUGGAGUGCAGUGGCGCGAUCUCGGCUCACUGCAACCUCUGCCUUUUGGGUUCGGGCAGUUCUCCUGCCUCAGCUUCCCGAGUAGCUGGGACUACAGGCGUGUGCCACCACACCAGCUAAUUUUUGUAUUUUUAGUAGAGAUAGGGUUUCACUAUGUUGGCCAGGCUGGUCUCAAACUCCUGACCUCAGGUGAUCUGCCCACCUAGGCCUCUCAAAGUGCUGGGAUUACAGGUGUGAGCCACCACACCUGGCCUCAUACUAGUCUUAUGUCAGAAUUUUUUAUUUUAGUGAUAUUGAGCUGCCUGAAUUCCCUGAGUGUGCCGUGCUGUUUAACUCCUCAUGUUUUUGUACCUGCUGACUGCCUGGAAUAUUCUUUCACUCUUUGUUUAACUGAAAAAUUCCUAUUUAUCCUUUAAAACAGAACUCAGACCUUAUUUCCUCUAUCAUACCUUAUGUUUGUACCUUUUACAACCUCUACUAAAACUGAGUUGAAAUUACCGGUUUAUAUGUCUCUCUUCCCUAUUAGAGCUGACACUUGGGGAUAUGAAGAUGAAGGCAGGAACAUGUUUUCCAUAUUCAUCUUCUUACUCUCAGUUCUAACAGAGUCUGUAUUUAUUUCCAUGGAAAGAUAUUCAUGAUACAUCGAUGUAAGUGAAGAAAACAGGUUAUAAAACAGUAUAAUAUAUGUAUGGUUUGAGCUCAUCUUUGCCACAAAUAUAUGUCAAUGUCACACAUCACAAUUUGUAAAUAUAAAAGUAUUUGCCUUAUUUAUUUAAUGUGUUUCUCCCUCACUAGGCUGAAUGCUCUUUGAGGGCAGGGAUCAGGUGUUCACUGCUGUUUAUGCAGUGCCUGGCACAAUGGCUGGCAAUUAAUAAGCAUUUAUACAUUUGUUAGAAGGGAGAAUGUGCAUCGAAAAAUAACUGGAAGCAUGAAUACCCAAACCUUAAAGAUGGUUGCCUCAGAUAAUAGAAUUAUGGUUACUGUGUAUUUUUUCUUUAUAUUUUUCUGUAUUUAUUGAAGUUUUAGAAAUGAUAAUAUAUUACUUUCAUAAUCAUAAGAAAAAUUAAAACUGCUUUAGGAGGGAUGGAAAGAAGGAAUUCAGAGGCCCAUUAGGCUCUAGUUACUACUUCCUCAGUCACAGUAGAUGAUAUAUGGAUUUGCCUCAGACACAGGACCUGUGGGGAGCUAGGAGUGCCAGAGAUUAAAAUAGAACCAGAGGAAGAAUUAUGAGGAGAGAGGUGCUAGUAGGACACCUGAUUAGUGGGUCCCUUCAGCAAGAAUCUUCAAAGGCCUCCCAUCACUUACAGAACAAAAUCCAAUCUUUUUUUUUUUUUUUUUGAUAGAGUCUUGCUCUGUCGCCUAGGCUGGAGUGCAGUGGCACAAUCUCAGCUCACUGCAAGCUCUGCCUCCCAGGUUCAUGCCGUUCUCCUGCCUCAGCCUCCUGAGUAGCUGGGACUACAGGCGCCUGCCACCACACCCGGCUAAUUUUUUGUAUUUUUUUGUAGAGACAGGGUUUCACCGUGUUAGCCAGGAUGGUCUCAAUCUCCUGACCUCGUGAUCCGCCCGCCUCGGCCUCCCAAAGUGCUGGGAUUACAGGCGUGAGCCACUGCGCCCGGCCUAACAAAAUCCAAUCUUAUCAGCAGAACCACAGAGGUAGCCAUUAACAAGCUUAGGUGCCUCCCCUUUCUCCUCUCCCUCCACCACCCUCCUAUUUGAGCCUCUAGAAAUACUGAACUACUUGUGCUUUCCAGAAUACUCCCAUUCUCGGGUCUCUUCAUUUUCCUUCAAACUCAUUCUCUCUUUGACUCCAUGUAUCCAGGUCACACUGAUGCAAGAGGUGGGUUCCCAUGGUCUUGGGCAGCUUUGCCCCUGUGGCUUUGCAGAGUAUAGCCCACCUCCUAGCUGCCUUCAUGGACUGGCAUUGAGUGUCUGUGAAUUUUCCAGGUGCACGGUACAAGCUGUAGGUGGAUCUACCAUUCUGGGGUCUGGAAGAUGGUGGCCCUCUUCUCACAGCUCAACUAGGCAGUGGCCCAGUAGGGACUCUGUGUGGGGCCUCCAAUCCCACAUUUCCCGUCUCCACUGCACUAGCAGUUCUCUAUGAGAGCCCUGCCUCUGCAGCAAACUUCUGCCUGGACAUCCAGGUGUUUCCAUAUAUCCUCUGAAAUCUAGACAGAGGUUCCCAAACUUCAAUUCUUGAAGUUUGUGCAGAUGCAGUUCUGUGCAUCUGCAGGCUCAAAACCACGUGGAAGCUGCCAAGGCUUGGGGCUAUGCAGCAGACUUCUGCCUGGACAUCCAGGUGUUUCCAUACAUCCUCUGAAAUCUAGGCGGAGGUUCCCAAACUUCAAUUCUUGACUUCUGUGCAUCUGCAGGCUGAAAACUACGUGGAUGCUGCCAAUGCUUGGGGCUUGCACCCACUGAAGCCAUGGCCUGAGCUGUACCUUGGCCCCUUUUAGUCAUGGCUGGAGCAGCUAGGAUUCAGGGCACCAAGUCCCUAGACUGCACACAGCACAGGGACCCUGGUCCUAGCCCACUAAACCAUUUUUUCUUCCUAGACCUCCAGGCCUGUGAUGGGAGGGCCUGCUGUGAAGACCUCUGACAUGCCCUGGAGACAUUUUCCCCAUUGUGUUGGGUAUUAACAUUUGGCUUCUCGUUACUUAUGCAAAUUUCUGCAACCAGCCUGAACUCCUCAGAAAAUGAUAUUUUCUUUUCUAUCGCAUUGUCAGGCUGCAAAUUUUCCAAACCUUUAUGCUCUGCUUCCCUUAUGAAACUGAAUGCCUUUAACAGCAUCCAUGUCACCUCUUGGAUGCUUUGCUGCUUAGAAAUUUCUUCCACCAGAUACCCUAAAUCAUUUCUCUCAAGUUGAAAGUUCCACAAAUCUCUAGGGCAGGGGCAAAAUGCCACCAUUCUCUUUGCUAAAACAUAACAAAAGUUACCUUUGCUCCAGUUCCCAACAAGUUCCUCAUCUCUAUCUGAGACCACCUCAGCCUGGACCUCAUUGUUCAUACCAUUAUCAGCAUUUUUGUCAAAGCCAUGCAACAAGUCUCUAGGAAGUUACAAACUUUCUCAUAUUUUCCUGUCUUCUUCUGAGCCCUCCAGACUGUUCCAACCUCUUCCUGUUACCCAAUUCCAAAGUUGCUUCCAGAUUUUCAGAUAUCUUUUCAGUGGCACCCCACUUUUGGCACCAAUUUACUGUAUUCAUCUGUUUUCACACUGCUGAUAAAGACAUACCCGAGACUGGGCAAUUUACAAAUGAAAGAAGUUUAACUGGACUUACAGUUACACAUGGGUAGGGAUGCCUUGCAGUCAUGGGAGAAGGCAAGGAGGAGCAAGUUACAUCUUACAUGGUUGGAGGCAGGCAAAAAGAGCUUAUGCAGGAAAACUCCCCCUUAUAGUUAACCAUUAGAUCUCAUGAGACUUACUCACUAUCACAGAACAGCACAGGAAAGACCUGUCCCCCAUGAUUCAAUUACCUCCCACUGGGUCCCUCCCACAACACAUGGGAAUUCAAGAUGAGAUUUGGGUGGGGACACAGCCAAACUGUAUCAUUAUUCAUUUAUGCAACUUUUAUUGAUCUACUACAAUGUGUCAGGCAUUGAACCAUGCUAGAGAUACAAGAUAGACACAACUCCCUUCCUGGAGUUUAUUUAUUUAUUCAUUUAUUUGGGGCGGAGUCUCACUCUGUCGCCCAGGCUGGAGUGCAGUAGUGUGAUCUUGGCUCACUGCAACCUCCAUCUCCUGGGUUCAAGCGAUUCUCCUGCCUCAGCCUCCAAAGUAGCUGGGACUACAGGUGCGUGCUACCUGGCUAAUUUUUUUUUUUUUUUUUUUUUUUGAGAUGGAGUUUUGCUCUUGUCACCCAGGCUGGAGUGCAAUGGCGUGAUCUUGGCUCACUGCAACCUCUGCCUCCGGGUUCAAGUGAUUCUCCUGCCUCAGCCUCCCGAGUAGCUGGGAUUACAGGCGCCCAACACCACACCCAGCCAAUUUUUGUAUUUUUAGUAGAGAUUGGGUUUCACCAUGGUGGCCAGGAUGGUCUUGGACUCCUGACCUCAGGUGAUCCACCUGUCUCAGCCUCCCAAAGUACUGGGAUUAUAGGCAUGAGCCACCACACCCAGCCCAGUCCUGGAGUUUUUAGUCCCAUGGAUAAAAUAGGUACUAAAUAAAUAUUGUAGCCCAAUCAGCUUUCAGGGACAAAUCUAUAAACAAGUUUAUUGACUCAUGGCAAUGACAGAGACCACUUACCAGAGGAACUGUGGAGCAUCUGACUAGACAAAGGAAAAGAUGGAAUUAUUAUAGGAUUGUGGGGGAAGAGUAGAGUUUAGGUGAAAUUUAAACGAAGCAGUGUUUUCACAAGGUCAAAGCAAAGCAGAGCUGUGUGUAAAUGAGUCAACAUAAGGCCUGGACUGCUGAGAGGGACCCAGCAGACCUGCAUUAAAAAAAAUAUUAAAGAGAAUUCUUUAGGCUAAUAGGAAAUAACACCAGAUGGUAACUCAAAUUAUACAAAGAAAUGCAUAACACAGCAAUUAUUAAACAUAUGAGUAAAUAUAAAGGACUGUAUCCAUAUAUUUUCUCUUCUAAGAACUUUGAAACAGAAUAUUAUGUGAACUAAUAUUAUAAAACAAUAAAUAGCUUUAUAACAU